ACGGAGGGUGCAAGCGUUGUUCGGAAUUACUGGGCGUAAAGCGCGCGUAGGCGGCUAUUUAAGUCAGAUGUGAAAGUCCACGGCUCAACCGUGGAAGUGCAUUUGAAACUGGAUGGCUUGAGUACUGGAGGGGGUGGUGGAAUUCCCGGUGUAGAGGUGAAAUUCGUAGAUAUCGGGAGGAAUACCGGUGGCGAAGGCGACCACCUGGCCAGAUACUGACGCUGAGGUGCGAAAGCGUGGGGAGCAAACAG
rnacentral:rRNA from 1 species